AUUUGCUACUGUGGAAAAGAUGGCAUCAUUCCUGAAGGGAACACAGAGAAUCGGGUGGCACGAAGACAAAAGCCCUCUGGAUUGCUGCAAGAAGUGUCCUCAGGCCGCCCUUUCUUUGGGCACAUCUGCCAGAGUGAAGCGAGAGCAGGCUGGGCUUGCUGGCUGUGCGGAUUCGGCUUCAGUGCCCGCCCAAUCCUUCCUCCGUGCCGUGCUCCCUCCGUGUAUACUCGGGCAAGCCGCUCUCCAAGGCCACAGCAUCCUCUGCAGCAAAAGUGGAGUGGCAGCAGUUCCUGCCUCAAAAGACUUUUGUUAGGACGGCUGGCGUCCAUAGAUUGGAAGCUCCCAAAACAGUGCUUGAUACCUACCAGCAGAUAGAGUGAUGUGUUGGCUCUCAUUACCUCUCCAAGCCAUCUCCGGGUAAACCUCUGGCUUCUUUUUCUGCUGAGAUUUCUUUUCUUUUCAUCUCAGCUUUUGGUCCUGCCCACUUAGGCUAAGAAGUGUACUGACAACAGUCUUUGAAAAUUGCCAGCAAACGCCUCUUUUCCAGCUCUGCUUUAGUAACAUCACAUUUCAGUCUCUCAAACAAACUCCCCUGACCCUGCUUCCCCCGAAGUCACUUGGAAACACAAACAUUAAGGCUGUGUACUUUGGUGUUGGAGGUGGUUUAUGAUUUGGGCCUAGGGCUCUCUUCCCCCAAUAAUAAGCACAGAAGAGGAAGGGGUGAUGGCUGGCAGGAGUUUCUGUUGGAGAAGUUUCUGCUAACAGUGGCCUUACUGUUAGGGUGCUGCCGGUUCACCAGAACUGGGGGAUGUCAGCCCAUCGCAGGAAACCACCCGGAGAAACUGCCUGGGACAGGCGCCAUCUGUCUGCAGCUCUGUCAUUUAGAUAGUCAAUGGAUCAGUCCACUGGGGCUGAGGCACAAACAGAGCUUGGCUUUGAUAUUUAGGAAGACGAAAGAUGCCUGACAGCUCCUUUCCAGGUUACAUUUGCACUCCUUGACUGUCCUUUGCUAUUGUUUCUAGAAAAAAAAAUAUAUUGAUUGUGAAGUGUUCCUUUGAUGGUGUGUUCUGUUAGCUUGCAAAUAAAUUGGGUCUGAAUCUAGUCUCA
rnacentral:lncRNA from 13 species